CGCGGAGACAAAAUUGAGAGCCCUAACGGUUCUCAAUUUUUCCCCUCUUACUCCCAUCGACGCCCUUCUUCCCCUCUAUCACUGCGUCUCCUCCUCCCUCGCACUCGAUUGUUCCUCUCCUCUCUUGCUGCACAGGUCUCUCCUCUCUCGCUGCGUCUCCUCCUCUAUCGCUGCGUCUCCUCCUCUCUUGCUCUCUUGUUCGUUACCUCUCUCGUUGCACAGGUCUCUCCUGUCAAACCCAACGUCGCCUGCUUGCAGCCCCAGGUGAGCCCUAUGCGUCUCUUUGUCGCUCUCUCACAUGCUUGUUUUGUGAAAAUUCAUCUUUCCUUUUUUCUGUUUUUCAUACGCAGGCCUUCAAUACCAACAAGAGAUUUGGUCAUAUCCCUCUUGGCUGCUCCUUUAUUCAAGUAUGCCUCUCACAACAGGAAAUUUACCCUCCUCUUGCUUUUAAUUUCUGUUUCCUUUCCGUAUGAUGGUUUUUUUUAUCUAAGUACAGAUUGUUUGGCUUCAAGUUACUCGUGUUUUCCGUCUCUCUUUGUCUCUGUAGCUAUGUUUUUGAUGGUUCACUAUUGUCAAAAGGCGCCCACUCCAAAGUAGCUAAUAAACCUGAAUUUCCCUGCAUCCCUGUACUUCUUGACAUAUGAUUUUGCAUGAUCUCAAAUUUUCUGUUGCAGAACAAGAGACUGAUUAUCAUUUUACUUCAUUCUGUAUAUGAAAUUGUGAAUUUGGAUAUCAUCAUUGUAGUUCUGAGUCAUCCAAUAAGAUUUGAGGCUCUGUUAGCUGUUACUGUCAUUUGGGUUCUAGUUGUCUAGGUUUGGUUAAACGAGGAACCAAUUUUUUUUGUUCUUGUGGUGGCAAGCCUUUGAGUAUGUUACAAGUUGCAACUCUCUGACUUAAGUAAAAUUUAUACUUGCUGGAAAUGUUUCUCCUAUCAGAUCAUGUUGCUCUAGAUCCCAAAGAAAACGGGAAGAAAACAAAAGGAAUGUAAGUCUUCCCUUUGAUUCAUCUGGAAUUUAGUUUUGCUCAUAACAUUCCUAUGAGGCUUUCUCCGGAACGAAGUUUAAACUCUGACAAAUUGACCUUGAUUUCCCUUUUUUCCCAUUUAAUAGACAGUUUAUCAAAUUGUGGAGCAUCAUGCAUUUUGAGAUCAUCUCUUCUGGUGUCCCCACAAGGAUUGCUGCUGAGCUUCAUUAUGGCCUUUGCUUGUUUCUCUUUCUAAUUUGGAAAUCCAGUUAUCCAUGUAUAGCCCAUCAAUGUGAUCUUGAUUCAUAGGAUGGAUAUCUUAUGAACCUGUGAGCUUCCUUGUGUAGCUGUUCAAUGGAUUGCUCGAGGACUGUAGAUAGAUGCUGACUCCAUCAAUCCCACACUCCAAUUAGAAGCUGUGGUUGUCUUUUAGGGGGACAAGUUUGUUUCCAGUUUGAUUACCAAUUGAUUGCAGAGAUUUUUGUAAAACCAAACUCUGAGAAGUGAUGCCUUUUUAAAGGAAAAAGAAAAACACUAAUUACAUAA